rnacentral:lncRNA from 1 species
CUUUCUACCCCUUCCUUUGAUCUCCUGCUGCUCUUUCUUCUCCACGGCUUCCAACGGGCCUUACUUGGCUGGCCAGGUAGGCGCCUGCUUCUGCUGGGUCUGGUGGCAUACCGGGACGCCCUUGCCGCCCCCGGAGGAGCCGCUGCUCCCACCACUGGAGAAGCAGCCCCCGCCGGCCCCGGACCCGGAGGAGCCGCCGCCGCCGCCGCCCCCGCAACUGGAGAAGCAGCCCCCGCCGCCCCCGGACCCGGAGGAGCCGCCGCCGCAGCCGCCGCCGCUGGAGAAGCAGCCCCCGCCGCCCCCGCCCCCGGAGGAGCCGCCUCCGUAGCCCUGCUGGGGCGUGCACGAGGUCUGGGGGGUCUGUUGCGACGAGAAGCAGCCGGAGCCGCCCCCGGAGGAGCCGCCGCCGCAGCCGGAGCCGCCCCCCGAGGAGCCCCCGCCGCAGCCGGAGCCGCCGCCCGAGACACCUCCGUAGCUCUGGCACUGGACCUGCUGGCCGGAGCCGCCGCCGCCGCCGCCGCCGGAGUAGCCUCCGCAGCCGGAGCCGCCGCUGGAGGAGGAGCCGCCGCCGCAGCCGGAGCCGCCGCCGCCCCCGGAGUAGCCUCCGCAGCCGGAGCCGCCGCCGGAGACACCUCCGUAGCUCUGGCACUGAACCUGCUGGCCGGAGCCGCCGCCGCCGCCGCCGCCGGAGUAGCCUCCGCAGCCGGAGCCGCCGCUGGAGGAGCCGCCGCCGCAGCCGGAGCCGCCGCCGCCCCCGGAGUAGCCUCCGCAGCCGGAGCCGCCGCCGCCCCCGGAGUACUUGGUGCUCCCACCCGAACCUCCUCCGGAGCCGCCGCCACCGCAGCCGGAGCCGCCGCCGCCGGAGUAGCCUCCGCAGCCGGAGCCGCCGCCGCCGCCGCCGCCGGAGUAGCCUCCGCAGCUGGAGCCGCCGCCGCCCCCGGAACAGCCUCCGCCCCCGGAGUACUUGACGCUCCCACCGGAACCUCCUCCGCAGCCUCCGGAACCUCCUCCGCCGCCUCCGCCGCCUCCGGAGCAGCCUCCGCCCCCGGAGUAGCCUCCGCAGCCGGAGCCGCCGCUGGAGGAGGAGCCGCCGCCGCAGCCGGAGCCGCCGCCGCCCCCGGAGUACUUGACGCUCCCACCCGAGCCGCCGCCGCCGCCGCAGCCACCGGAGCCGCCGCCGCCGCCGCCCGAGGUCUUCCCGAAGCCCAUUGGAGGCAUGGGGGUGGGCUGCUUCUUCUGGUGAGACAUCUUGCGCAAGCAGGAAGCGAACCCUGA